UCUCUGCAGAGAAGCCUGUGAGGAAGUGCUAAGCAUAGUGCCCGAGUCAGACACUGUUUCUUCCAUCUGAGAAGAGA